AUCCUACGGGGGGCAGCAGUGGGGAAUAUUGGGCAAUGGGCGCAAGCCUGACCCAGCGACGCCGCGUGAGGGAAGACGGUCUUCGGAUUGUAAACCUCUUUCAGCAGGGAAGACAAAAGGACGGUACCUGCAGAAGAAGCCACGGCUAACUACGUGCCAGCAGCCGCGGUAAUACGUAGGUGGCAAGCGUUAUCCGGAAUUACUGGGUGUAAAGGGUGUGUAGGCGGGGUUGCAAGUACGAUGUGAAAAUUAUGGGCUCAAACCAUAACCUGCGUUUGAAACGACAGAUCUUGAGAGAGGGGGAG
rnacentral:rRNA from 1 species